UCCCAACCACGUGUUUGAUGUAAACAAUACCGUAUUUGGUAGCAUGUAAACAUGGACAAUUUUAUGACCCUGAUCAAUCUUUGUACGAAUUAGUUGUAUCCGAAUUCUACCUCUACUUAAAAUAAGGAAAUGCAUUAGCAUUUUCUGGAGGGUAAACCUACUGACAAACAUCCAGAUCCAGUACCUGCUUUAUCAGUCGGAAGUAAAUUAACACCUAUCAGACCUCCGCCAAAGAGACGGCCUGAUUCAGAGCCACCAAGAAAGCGGAGAAAUGUGCUUUCAGAAAUUAACAACAGCAUCACUGAUGAAAAUGUCUACAGGGGUCAGUCAACUGAAACGCAAACUGGAACCAUUCACAAAGGUAUGUAUGUUACGAAAGACCCGUGGUGACAUUUCAA